AACGUAGGAGACAAACGUUAUCCGGAGUUACUGGGCGUAAAGGGCGCGUAGGCGGCCUGCUAAGUCGAACGUGAAAUCCCUGGGCUCAACCCAGGAACUGCGUCCGAUACUGGUUGGCUUGAAUCCGGGAGAGGGAUGUGGAAUUCCAGGUGUAGCGGUGAAAUGCGUAGAGAUCAGGCGGAACACCCGUGGCGAAGGCGGCCAGCUGGGUCGUCCCUGACGCUGAGGCGCGAAGGCGUGGGGAGCAAACAGG
rnacentral:rRNA from 1 species